rnacentral:rRNA from 1 species
CAGUAGCCGCGGUAAUACAGAGGAUGCAAGCGUUAUCCAGAAUGAUUGGGCGUAAGGCGUCUGUAGGUGGCUUUUCAGGUCCGCCGUCAAAUCCCAGGGCUCAACCCUGGACAGGCGGUGGAAACUACCAAGCUGGAGUACGGUAGGGGCAGAGGGAAUUUCCGGUGGAGCGGUGAAAUGCGUCGAGAUCGGAAAGAACACCAACGACGAAAGCACUCUGCUGGGCCGACACUGACACUGAGAGACGAAAGCUAGGGGGGCAAAUGGGAUUAGAUACCCGCGUAGUCCCUGUCUCUUAUAC